AAGAACCAAUGUAUUGUAAAGAAUGAUGAAAAUGACAAUGUUUAAAGUUAAAGUAAUGUGGGGAGUAAAGAACAUGAAAUGCUAGAGGUAGCCAAGAGUAAAGAAUGUAAAGAAUAUAAUUGUUAGAGUUAGCAACACAAAGCGAUGUAAAGAACACUAGAGUUAGUGUAAAGUCAAGAUUGAAUUUGUAAAUCCUUUGAGUUAAGGAUAUGAUCAUACUUGCUAUGAGUUCCGUGCUCGAGGGCGGUCGCUCCCCCUCGGGCGAUGUGCUCCGGAGUUAUGCAUCACGGGUUGGAGUAAACCCGAAGGACGGUUCUAGCGGGUGAGCUCCUGCGAUGAUGGACUUAAUGUGAAGCAAGUUAAUAUGGCGAUACCCCCGGGUUAGCCUUGAGAUUAAAGAACAAAGAGCAAAGAACAAAGUGCAAAGAACAAAGAACAAAGAACAAAGAGUAAAAUGAAAAGAACAAAGAAUUUGCAUAAUCUGCAUUUAUUUAAUGUUGAGCAUACUCCUUACUUUAUUGUUCAGGCAUAUUAGCAUCAUGUAUAAAUUGGUUACUAUAUGCAGCUUAUUCUUUCUAUUAUGCCUGAGUUAGUCCUAGUAGGAAGGUCGGUGAUGUUGAGGCCGAACCCACUGGGAACUUUGUUGUAGUUCUCACCCCACUAUUUCCACAGAGCCGGGACCGAGCGAGCCGGCGAGCGACCGAGGUAAAGGUAUCGCGCCUUAGUCAGAGGCCACCAAAGUUGGGUUUCAUUUUGUAGUAAAGUACCCUAUGAUCAUCUUUUGCACAUGAUGGUAAAUGAUGUAAAGGAAAGAAUGUAAUGUGUAUUUUGAGGAAAUAUGAUGUAAGAAAGAAAUGAUGAAAUAAAAUGUAAGGAAUUGGAAAAUGAACAAGAUGAAUGCAAUGUAUAUGAUCAAAAAAUGAAUCAUAGUACUUGUAAAUGUUUAGUUUUCCUUUCUUUCACUAAUGGCUAUUGCUUACCCUCGUGUAAGCCGUUUGUAUAUGUUUCCGCUAGUGCUUUUCUCUAUUGAUGAAAAUGUACAUGUGAUGAGCCUUGGGCAGAUAGGGAAAACUCUGUCCGCUCGGCGUCUGUUUGACGUGCUCGGGUCGGGCCAAAUUGGCAUCGGUCUCGGGGCGUGACAUUGCUAGAGUGGCAACAUAAAGUGAUGUAAAGAACACUAGAGUUAGUGUAAAGUCAAGAUUGAACUUACAAUCCUUUGAGUUAAGAAUUCGAUCAUACUGCUAUGAGUUCCGUGCUCGAGGGCGGUCGCUCCCCCUCGGGCGAUGCGCUCCGGAGUUAUGCAUCACGGGUUGGAGUAAACCUGAAGGACGGUCCUAGCUGGUGAGUUCCUACGAUGAUGGACUUAAUGUGAAGCAAGUUAAUAUGGCGAAACCCCCGGGUUAGCCUUGAGAUUAAAGAACAAAGAGCAAAGAACAAAAAACAAAGACAAAGUGUAAUGUGUAAAGAAUGAAAGAACUUGCAUAAUCUGCAUAAGUUUCAUGUUGAGCAUACUCCUUGCUUUAUUGUUCAGGCAUACUAGCAUCAUAUUAUAGAUUGGUUACUAUAUCCUGCUUAUCUUUUCUAUUAUGCCUGAGUUAGUCCUAGUGGGAAAGUCGGUGAUGUUGAGGCCGAACCCACUAGGAACUUUGUUGUAGUUCUCACCCCACUAUUUCCACAGAGCCGGGACCGAGCGAGCGGCGAGCGACCGCGGUAAAGGUAUCGCACCUUAGUCAGAGGCCACCGGAGUUGGGUUACAUUUUGUUAGUAGCUACCCUAUGUUCAUCUUUUGUAUUUGAUGACUAGUGAUGUAAAGAAAAGAAUGUAAAGCUCAUUUUGAGGUAAAUGUGAUGUAAGAAAGAAAUGAUGAAAUGAUGUAAUGAAAUGCAAAGA
rnacentral:lncRNA from 1 species